UAAACAGCAUGGCGUAGAGUGGAAGAAUUAUUUCUCAUGUCUCACAACACUUCUGCUAACACAUUCCAGAAUGAUAUUUGCUUUUUUUGCAAUAGUGUUGCACUGUUGCCUCAUAUUUAUCUUGUGAUCCACUAUGCCCCCCAGACACUUUUCUACAUUGCUCCUUCCUAGGCAGUCAUUUCCCAUUUUGUAUGUGUGCAACUAAUUGCUCCUUCCUAAAUGGAGUACUUUGCAUUUGUUCUUAUUGA